GGGGGCGUCACGGUUUCGACGGGAUUGUUCGCGGCAAAGAGGCAUGCAGGGGUGUGGGCACCCUUAAUCGCUCGCAAAAUGAUAAUUGCCGAUCAUCAACUGGCAUACGCAGCUUAAUUAAAUAAGUUGCCGUUCUCCGUGGCUUUGCCUGUGGGCCGCGAGCGAACGUCGCACAGCAGGCUGGAUUUCGUGGCUCGGUCCGUGUCACGGAGUUAAGAUCAUCGGACUAGUGCCAGGCGCAUCUUGCCGCUUCUGAGUUCCUGGUGCGAAACCUUCGGAAUGCGGCUGAGCAUGGAGUCUCUUUGUUGACAUCGAUUUCGGACGCGGGUUCGACUCCCGCCGCCUCCACCA
rnacentral:tmRNA from 2 species